AAUAAGCGCAGUUGUAGGUUUCAGUGUCAAAUUUUGGCCAACCGUCUUAUUUAAAAUAUUUUUAUGAUUAGUAUUUUUAUUGUUAUUAGAUGAUAAAAUAUGAAUAAUACUUUAUGCGUGACUUAACUUUUAAAAAUUUUUUAUAAAUUUUUAAAUAAGACGAACGGUCAAAAGUUAGGCACAGACACUUAUGAUUGCACUUAUA
rfam:Oryza rufipogon genomic scaffold, chr08